rnacentral:rRNA from 1 species
AUGAACGCUGGCGGCGUGCCUAAUCCAUGCAAGUCGCGCGAACGGACGAGAAGCUUGCUUUUCUGAUGUUAGCGGCGGACGGGUGAGUAACACGUGGAUAACCUACCUAUAAGACUGGGAUAACUUCGGGAAACCGGAGCUAAUACCGGAUAAUAUUUUGAACCGCAUGGUUCAAAAGUGAAAGACGGUCUUGCUGUCACUUAUAGAUGGAUCCGCGCUGCAUUAGCUAGUUGGUAAGGUAACGGCUUACCAAGGCAACGAUGCAUAGCCGACCUGAGAGGGUGAUCGGCCACACUGGAACUGAGACACGGUCCAGACUCCUACGGGAGGCAGCAGUAGGGAAUCUUCCGCAAUGGGCGAAAGCCUGACGGAGCAACGCCGCGUGAGUGAUGAAGGUCUUCGGAUCGUAAAACUCUGUUAUUAGGGAAGAACACAUGUGUAAGUAACUGUGCACAUCUUGACGGUACCUAAUCAGAAAGCCACGGCUAACUACGUG